rnacentral:rRNA from 1 species
UACAGAGGUCUCAAGCGUUGUUCGGAUUCAUUGGGCGUAAAGGGUGCGUAGGUGGCGCCGUAAGUCAGGUGUGAAAUUUCGGAGCUUAACUCCGAAACUGCAUUUGAUACUGCGGUGCUUGAGGACUGGAGAGGAGACUGGAAUUCACGGUGUAGCAGUGAAAUGCGUAGAUAUCAGGAGGAACACCGGUGGCGAAGGCGGGUCUCUGGGCCGAUACUGACGCUGAGGAGCGAAAGCGUGGGGAGCAAACAGG